GACGAACGCUGGCGGCGUGCUUAACACAUGCAAGUCGAACGGUGAAGCGCCUUCCUUUUUGGUGGGUGUGGAUGAGUGGCGAACGGGUGAGUAACACGUGAGUAACCUGCCCCCUUCUUCUGGAUAACCGCAUGAAAGUGUGGCUAAUCCGGGAUAUUCUGGGUCUGUCGCAUGAUGGGUCUGGGCAAGAUAUUGUUUCGGUGGGGGAUGGGCUCGCGGCCUAUCAGGUUGUUGGUGGGGUGAUGGCCUACCAAGGCGGUGACGGGUAGCUGGCCUGAGAGGGUGGACGGUCACACAGGGAAUGAGACACGGCCCAGACUCCUACGGGAGGCAGCAGUGAGGAAUAGUGCACAAUGGGCGCAAGCCUGAUGCAGCGACGCCGCGUGAGGGAUGGAGGCCUGCGGGUUGUGAACCUCUUUCGCCAGUGAAGCAGGCCUGCCUCGUUUGUGGGUGGGUUGACGGUAGCUGGAGAAGAAGCGCCGGCUAACUACGUG
rnacentral:rRNA from 1 species